UUCCUUUUCCGACUAUCUCAAAUGACCAAAGUUAUUCUUCUGUCCUGUGCGAUUUGAUUUGAUUUUCACGAUGUUGGCGGAUGACAACUCGAUGAUUUGGUCCUUUGAUGGAUCAGAAUUAGCGUAUGACUUUGAUGAUGCAAAUAUGUCCAUGGAUCUUCAGUCACUCUGGAAUAUUAUGGAUGCCAGUCCCAAUCCCGAGCAGAGCAGCCCAGAAGAUCAUUCUCUAGAAAUGGUGCAACGAGAUGACUCAGCCCCUUACACCUUGAACAAUGGAUGCUCCCAAAAUCAGACAGAUUUGCCAGAUUUGUCAGAUUUGUUUUGGGUUGAGCCGACACAAUCUGUUCCAUUCUCACCAAAGAUUUCACGGGAAGAAGUCAGUAAAGGAGUAUUUCAGGUUCCUAUGGCGAGUUCUGCCGAUGCAAACAUAACUGAUGCACAACUGAAGUAUGAGGAAUUUAGGCAUUCAGUACCAACAUUUAAUGAUAGAUUCCUAAAUGCACCUUUUCAAACAUUUCCUUCUACUUUUCCAAACAUGUCUAAUGAGGCUCAAGCUAGAUGUAUGAAGGUUGAAAGAAAGGAUGAAAUGGAUGGACACCAUUUUUAUGUUUCUGAGAGUGUGUCUGGUUUUGGCAACAAGUAUAUAUCAAGUCCGAUGUUUCCUAGUGAUUUUUCAUGCAAUUCAAGUGAGAAGCAAGAUACAAAAUUGUUCUCCAAAAGUGCUAGCCAUUCUGUUGAUAUUAACUUAAGUCAUACAAUUCCCAGUUUAAGUACUGAUGAUUGUUCACUUGAUGCAAUGAUCCUAGAGAAGUCCUCCAUGUUGCCUUCUAUCUUAAGAAUGAAGCAUACAAGGCACAUAAAGGAUGUAAAUGGCAGUACUAAUAGCUCUCACUUUGAAAAACUGAAUAGUAGCUCUCACUUUGUCAAUGAUUCUGACUUGUGUAUUAUUGAAGAUGAGGAAGUUUCAUGUUCAGCUACAUCUUCAGCGAAUAAGAAAUCCAUCAUUGUUCCCCAAAAUUCUACAUCUAUUGAGCCUUUAAACCACUCGGGGAUUGCAAGUGCAAGGGUUAAGCCAAAUGAUGAACGCUUGGUAUUUCGUGCUGCAUUACAGAGGAUAACUUCGCAGAGCAGCCCAGGGGUUGUAUGUUGUGACUCGCAGAGCAGCCCAGAAGAUCAUUCUCUAGAAAUGGUGCAACAAGAUGACUCAGCCCCUGACACCUUGAACAAUGGAUGCUCCCAAAAUCAGACAGAUUUGGUGAUGCAAGCUUCGUUUGUUCCAUUCUCUCCGUUACGAAAUUCGGAAGCUUUGCAUGCCCAUAAACAGGUUUCAAAAGCGCCUAAGAAGGCAUCGCCUAAGAAGGCAUCGCCUAAGAAGGCAUCGCCUAAGAAGGCAGCGCCUAAGAAGACAUCGCAUAAUAUUGUAGAGGAUGAGGUUGAGCUAGGGCAGGUUGUCAGUGAUGCAUUCGCUCUCAUUGCUACCUCUACACAGAAUCUUUCAAAAGCCACACAAAUGUUGACAGAUGUAAGAGAGUCAGCAAAACAAAAAAAAUGGGACAUAUGGCCAAUGUAUGAGACCUCCAUCCAAGUACUAUAUGAUGCUAUGCGCAAAGAUGAAAAUCUUAGGGUUGCCCUUCAAAAGUUCUUCACAGAGACACUCUCAGCAGAAGACGCAGUGGUGGUACAAACACCCAAAGUGGUGAUACAAGAACUUCAAGUUGGAAAAACAUCUGAAGUGGUGGUUCCACCCAUAGUGGAGGUUGAAGCAGAAAAUCUUUUACAAAGGGUGAUGAGCGGUGAAAAAACACCCGCAGUGGUGGUCGGAGAACAACAAGCCAGAGGUCCAAUAAGAAAAAAAUCUAAGAGGAAGACGAAACCUUCACGGGCCUUUCAAUCUACAUACAUGAUAUGACAACCACUACUAAAAUAAUAUGGUAAUUACUUUGAUAUGGUCAAAGUAGAUGAAUAAGAUAAACUGGCAGCGGUGAUUUAUGUAAAAGAAGCGAACAUCAAUGAAGUGUUAUUCUACAACGAUUACAACACACUCAAAAGAUGUUAUAUGCUUUCAUUGAAAAGUAAAUGCUAUGUGAAUUCCGGUGUUGUUGAUGUCAUGCACACUUUAUCAAC